rnacentral:tRNA from 1 species
GCCCCCGUAGCUCAGUGGAUAGAGCAUCGGUCUCCGGAACCGAGAGCGUGAGUUCGAUUCUCGCCGGGGGCACCA